rnacentral:rRNA from 1 species
AUUGAACGCUGGCGGCAGGCCUAACACAUGCAAGUCGAGCGAGCGGCGGACGGGCGAGUAAUGUCUGGGCAACUGCCUGAUGGAGGGGGAUAACUACUGGAAACGGUAGCUAAUACCGCAAACCAUCAGAUGUGCCCAGAUGGGAUUAGCUAGUAGGUGGGGUAACGGCUCACCUAGGCGACGAUCCCUAGCUGGUCUGAGAGGAUGCCCAGCCACACUGGAACGAGAACACGGUCCGAACUCCUACGGGAGGCAGCAGUGGGGAAUAUUGCACAAUGGGCGCAAGCCGGAUGCGGCCAUGCCGCGUGUGUGAGGAGGGCCUUCGGGUUGUAAAGCACUUUCAGCGGGGAGGCGUUACCCGCAGAAGAAGCACCGGCUAACUCCGUGCCAGCAGCCGCGGUAAUAC